rnacentral:ncRNA from 2 species
AUCUUUGCACGAAAUUAAGGUUGUGUUCAUUAACACAUUAAAAGGGAAUCAAGUAAUAAAUCUUGAGCUGUACCCGCAACUGUAAGCUUAGUUCUGAAAAGAAUGCUUGUUGUAAACUACAAACCACUGCUCGCCCCGGCGAUUGGGAAGGUAAACAACAAGACGCAAGCCAGGAGACCUGCCUUUGUAACGAAUAUCGA